rnacentral:rRNA from 1 species
GGGGUAAAUAGGAAGUUAGAGUUAUGGAGACAAACCUUGGAAUCGAAAGGGUUUAGGCUUAGUAGAACUAAAACCGAGUACAUGAUGUGCGGUUUCAGUACUACUAGCUGUGAGGAGGAGGAGGUUAGCCUUGAUGGCCAGGUGGUACCUCGGAAGGACACCUUUCGGUAUUUGGGGUCAAUGUUGCAGGAGGAUGGGGGUAUUGAUGAAGAUGUGAACCAUCGAAUCAAAGCCGGAUGGAUGAAGUGGCGCCAAGCUUCUAGCAUUCUCUGUGACAAGAGAGUGCCACAAAAGCUAAAAGGCAAGUUCUAG